rnacentral:rRNA from 1 species
CAAAACGACUCUCGGCAACGGAUAUCUCGGCUCUCGCAUCGAUGAAGAAGCGUAGCGAAAUGCGAUACUUGGUGUGAUUGCAGAAUCCCGUGAACCAUCGAGUCUUUGAACGCAAGUUGCGCCCGAAGCCAUUAGGUCGAGGGCACGUCUGCCUGGGCGUCA